rnacentral:rRNA from 1 species
UACGUAGGGUGCGAGCGUUUAAUCGGAAUUACUGGGCGUAAAGCGUGCGCAGGCGGUCUGUUAAGACAGAUGUGAAAUCCCCGGGCUUAACCUGGGAACUGCAUUUGUGACUGGCAGGCUAGAGUAUGGCAGAGGGGGGUAGAAUUCCACGUGUAGCAGUGAAAUGCGUAGAGAUGUGGAGGAAUACCGAUGGCGAAGGCAGCCCCCUGGGCCAAUACUGACGCUCAUGCACGAAAGCGUGGGGAGCAAACAGG